AGAGUUUGAUCCUGGCUCAGAUUGAACGCUGGCGGCAUGCCUUACACAUGCAAGUCGAACGGUAACGCGGGGCAACCUGGCGACGAGUGGCGAACGGGUGAGUAAUGCAUCGGAACGUGCCCAGUAGUGGGGGAUAGCCCGGCGAAAGCCGGAUUAAUACCGCAUACGACCUACGGGUGAAAGCGGGGGACUCGCAAGAGCCUCGCGCUAUUGGAGCGGCCGAUGUCAGAUUAGCUAGUUGGUGGGGUAAAAGCCUACCAAGGCGACGAUCUGUAGCUGGUCUGAGAGGACGACCAGCCACACUGGGACUGAGACACGGCCCAGACUCCUACGGGAGGCAGCAGUGGGGAAUUUUGGACAAUGGGCGCAAGCCUGAUCCAGCCAUGCCGCGUGCGGGAAGAAGGCCUUCGGGUUGUAAACCGCUUUUGUCAGGGAAGAAACGCUCUGGGCUAAUACCCCGGGGUAAUGACGGUACCUGAAGAAUAAGCACCGGCUAACUACGUGCCAGCAGCCGCGGUAAUACGUAGGGUGCAAGCGUUAAUCGGAAUUACUGGGCGUAAAGCGUGCGCAGGCGGUUAUGCAAGACAGAUGUGAAAUCCCCGGGCUCAACCUGGGAACUGCAUUUGUGACUGCAUAGCUAGAGUACGGUAGAGGGGGAUGGAAUUCCGCGUGUAGCAGUGAAAUGCGUAGAUAUGCGGAGGAACACCGAUGGCGAAGGCAAUCCCCUGGACCUGUACUGACGCUCAUGCACGAAAGCGUGGGGAGCAAACAGGAUUAGAUACCCUGGUAGUCCACGCCCUAAACGAUGUCAACUGGUUGUUGGACGGCUUGCUGUUCAGUAACGAAGCUAACGCGUGAAGUUGACCGCCUGGGGAGUACGGCCGCAAGGUUGAAACUCAAUGGAAUUGACGGGGACCCGCACAAGCGGUGGAUGAUGUGGUUUAAUUCGAUGCAACGCGAAAAACCUUACCUACCCUUGACAUGUCAAGAAUCUUGCAGAGAUGUGAGAGUGCUCGAAAGAGAACUUGAACACAGGUGCUGCAUGGCCGUCGUCAGCUCGUGUCGUGAGAUGUUGGGUUAAGUCCCGCAACGAGCGCAACCCUUGUCAUUAGUUGCUACGAAAGGGCACUCUAAUGAGACUGCCGGUGACAAACCGGAGGAAGGUGGGGAUGACGUCAGGUCCUCAUGGCCCUUAUGGGUAGGGCUACACACGUCAUACAAUGGCCGGUACAGAGGGCUGCCAACCCGCGAGGGGGAGCUAAUCCCAGAAAACCGGUCGUAGUCCGGAUCGCAGUCUGCAACUCGACUGCGUGAAGUCGGAAUCGCUAGUAAUCGCGGAUCAGCUUGCCGCGGUGAAUACGUUCCCGGGUCUUGUACACACCGCCCGUCACACCAUGGGAGCGGGUUCUGCCAGAAGUAGUUAGCCUAACCGCAAGGGGGGCGAUUACCACGGCAGGGUUCGUGACUGGGGUGAAGUCGUAACAAGGUA
rnacentral:rRNA from 1 species